ensembl:lncRNA
GAAACAUGUGUUUGCCACAUAUCUUGCGUUCUACAAAAUUGCCAGGAAAACACACGGAGUGAUCUUCAUAGGGAACCAGUGUGGUGAUGGUUGGUGAAAUAAAAAAUAUUCAAAAAAUAAUCAAAAAAAUAAUCAAAAAAUAUUCACGGAAAUAUUCACGGAAAUAUUCAUGAAAAUAUUCAAGAAAUAUUCAAAGGAAUGAUUGAUGACAAAGAUGAUCAAAUGUGAUAAGGGGGGAAAGAAACCUGUGUUUUCCGCAUAUCUUGCGUUCUACAAAAUUGCCAGGAAAACCAAAGGAGUGAUCUUCAUAGGGAACCAGUGUGAUGAUGGUUGGUGAAAUAAAAAAUAUUCAAAAAAUAAUCAAAAAAAUAUUCACGGAAAUAUUCACGGAAAUAUUCAUGAAAAUAUUCAAGAAAUAUUCAAAGGAAUGAUUGAUUACAAAGAUUAUCAAAUGUGAUAAGGGGGGAAGGAAACCUGUGUUUGCCACAUAUCUUGCGUUCUACAAUAUUGCCAGGAAAACAAAAGAAGAGUGAUCUUCAUAGGGAACCCGUGUGAUGAUGGUUGGUGAAAUAAAAAAUAUUCAAAAAAUAUUCACGAAAAUAUU